rnacentral:rRNA from 1 species
GGGGAAUAGCCCAGGGAAACUUGGAUUAAUGCCCCAUGGUACCGUUAUAUCGCAUGAUAUUUCGGUUAAAGAUUUAUCGGACAGGGAUGGCCAUGCGUACCAUUAGUUAGUUGGUGGGGUAACGGCCCACCAAGGCAGCGAUGGUUAGGGGCCCUGAGAGGGGGAUCCCCCACACUGGUACUGAGACACGGACCAGACUCCUACGGGAGGCAGCAGUGAGGAAUAUUGGACAAUGGGCGGGAGCCUGAUCCAGCCAUGCCGCGUGCAGGAUGACG